CCUACGGGUGGCAGCAGCUAAGAAUAUUGCACAAUGGACGAAAGUCUGAUGCAGCGACACCGCGUGAGGGAUGAAGGUUUUAGGAUUGUAAACCUCUUUUAUUAGGGAAUAGCAAGGAAGGUACCUAAUGAAUAAGCUACGGCUAACUACGUGCCAGCAGCCGCGGUAAUACGUAGGUAGCGAACGUUGCCCGGAAUCAUUGGGCGUAAAGGGUCCGUAGGUGGCAUAAAAAGUCUUAUGUGAAAUCUCUUGGCUCAACCAAGAAACGCCAUAAGAAACUUUUAUGCUAGAGAUCAUCAGAGGGAGGUAGAAUUCCAGGUGUAGUGGUGAAAUGCGUAGAUAUCUGGAGGAAUACCAAUGGCGAAAGCAGCCUCCUGGGGUGGCUCUGACACUGAGGGACGAAAGCGUGGGUAGCAAACCGGAUUAGAUACCCUGGUAGUC
rnacentral:rRNA from 1 species